rnacentral:miRNA from 14 species
CAUCACUAGAUCUUGCUGAUAUC